AUUGAACGCUGGCGGCAGGCCUAACACAUGCAAGUCGAGCGAGCGGCGGACGGGUGAGUAAUGUCUGGGAAACUGCCUGAUGGAGGGGGAUAACUACUGGAAACGGUAGCUAAUACCGCAUACCAUCAGAUGUGCCCAGAUGGGAUUAGCUAGUAGGUGGGGUAACGCCUCACCUAGGCGACGAUCCAUAGCUGGUCGGAGAGGAUGACCAGCAACACUGGAACGGAGACACGGUCCAGCUUCCUACGGGAGGCAGCAGUGGGGAAUAUUGCACAAUGGGGUCAAGCCUGCUGCAGCCAUGCCGCGUGUUGGAAGAAGGCCUCCGGGUUGUAAAGCACUUUCAGCGGGGAGGCGUUACCCGCAGAAGAAGCACCGGCUAACUCCGUGCCAGCAGCCGCGGUAAUAC
rnacentral:rRNA from 1 species